rnacentral:tRNA from 1 species
GGGCCCGUAGCUUAGCCUGGUGAGAGCGCCCGACCAAUGACCGGGUGGUCAAGGGUUCAAAUCCCUUCGGGCCCA